AUAGUCUGAUUUCUGAGGAGAACUUGUGAAGGCCUUGAAAUAUUACUCUACAUGAUACAAAAUGGCUGUUCUUUAAUUAGGAAAGAAACAAAAUGGCUGCUCUUGUUAGCGUGUUGAUGUCUUUGAGGAAUGGUGGCCAUUUUGUGGCAUAUUAUCAACCUUUUGUGCUCCUCCCAAAACACAAAAUGGCACUAUAAUCUGACUUAUGAGGAGAACUUGUGUAGGCCUUGAAAUAUUUUACAGGAAACAAAAUGGCUAUUCUUUAAUUGGGAAAGAAACAAAAUGGCUGCUCUUGUCAGUGUGUUAAUGUCUUUGAGGAAUGGUGGCCAUUUUGUGGCAUGGUGUGGCAUAUUAUCAACCUUUUGUGCUCCUUCCAAACCUCAAAAUGACACCAUAAUCUGAUUUAUGAGGAGAACUUGUGUAGGCUUUGAAAUAUUAUUCUCCAGGAAACAAAAUGGCUGUUCUUUAAUUGGGAAAGAAACAAAAUGGCUGCUCUUGACAGUGUGUUGAUGUCGUUGAGGAAUGGUGGCCAUUUUGUGGCAUGCUGUGGCAUAUUAUCAACCUUUUGUGCUUCUCCCAAACCACAAACUGGUACCAUAGUCUGACUUCUGAGGAGAAAUUGUGUAGGUCUUGAAAUAUUACACUACAGGAUACAAAAUGGCUGUUCUUUAAUUGGGAAUGAAACAAAAUGGCCGCUCUUGACAGUGUGUUCAUGUCCUUGAGGAAUGGCAGCCAAUUUCUGGCCGGUUCUCCCAGUAAAUACUGUGGCUUAUGACUAACCAACCAUAAGACGUCAAUACUGUGGCACAUUACUAAAAAUGUGUACUCAUCCCGAACCACAAAAUGGCGGCAUUGUUCCCAAAGGCUUAAAAUGGCUGCCAGAAUUGAACAAUCAAAAGGUCCCCUACACACAUCACCACCACCACCACGUUUCCUAAAUCUAAGCUGGCUUUUGUCUUCUUAAUGGCAGACAUAUAUAUUUGUUUCAUGUAAGACAGGAGGCCAUUUUGAUUUCCUCACAGGAGAAACUGUCAUGGCGGCAGUUUGUCCUUUUUUGGAGGGGGGGGGGUUGUUUAACUUCCUCCCUGUCCUCUUUUGUUUCUGAAUAGGAUCUCCUCUGGCCCUGUUUGUUCUUUUUUGAGUGUACAGCUGUUUUAAUCUGUUGUUAUUAUAGUGACACAUUGCACUAAGGGUGCGUCUCGGCCCUCCAAAUUCUUGCCUACUGGAUCUCCCCUUUUCCCCUUGUCAAUAUUUGUUGGUUUCUAAAACGAAAGCAAAGCAGAUUCCCUUUGGCAACAACAAACAGGGACGCUUCACUUUCCCCUUGCUAGUUCUUAUUUUUUUAAACAACAACAACAAUAAUAAUAAUGAUUCAGUUUCUCCCCUUUUCGAGGCUGCGUCUUUUGAGAAUCCCUGACACUGUAUGAAUGAAUGAAAGAAGAACUUAACUUUCGAUUCCUUUGCUUUUUAACUUCCUUUUUUUUUGGUUGGGAUUGGGGGGUGGGUGGGUUUGUUCUUGGUUUUUAUUUGCAGAAUUAUUUAAUUGCCUGUAUCAGAUUUACUGUAAAAGAUGAGAAAUAAAACUUUAAAAAAGCUCGA